GAUGAACCACUUCGGUGGGGAUUAGUGGCGAACGGGUGAGUAACACGUGGGCAAUCUGCCCUGCACUCUGGGACAAGCCCUGGAAACGGGGUCUAAUACCGGAUAUGAGCUUCCAUCGCAUGGUGGGGGCUGUAAAGCUCCGGCGGUGCAGGAUGAGCCCGCGGCCUAUCAGCUUGUUGGUGAGGUAACGGCUCACCAAGGCGACGACGGGUAGCCGGCCUGAGAGGGCGACCGGCCACACUGGGACUGAGACACGGCCCAGACUCCUACGGGAGGCAGCAGUGGGGAAUAUUGCACAAUGGGCGCAAGCCUGAUGCAGCGACGCCGCGUGAGGGAUGACGGCCUUCGGGUUGUAAACCUCUUUCAGCAGGGAAGAAGCGCAAGUGACGGUACCUGCAGAAGAAGCGCCGGCUAACUACGUGCCAGCAGCCGCGGUAAUACGUAGGGCGCAAGCGUUGUCCGGAAUUAUUGGGCGUAAAGAGCUCGUAGGCGGCUUGUCGCGUCGGUUGUGAAAGCCCGGGGCUUAACCCCGGGUCUGCAGUCGAUACGGGCAGGCUAGAG
rnacentral:rRNA from 1 species